AACGAACGCUGGCGGCAUGCCUAACACAUGCAAGUCGAACGAGACCUUCGGGUCUAGUGGCGCACGGGUGCGUAACGCGUGGGAAUCUGCCCUUGGGUUCGGAAUAACUCAGAGAAAUUUGAGCUAAUACCGGAUGAUGACGUAAGUCCAAAGAUUUAUCGCCCAAGGAUGAGCCCGCGUAAGAUUAGCUUGUUGGUAGGGUAAUGGCCUACCAAGGCGACGAUCUUUAGCUGGUCUGAGAGGAUGAUCAGCCACACUGGGACUGAGACACGGCCCAGACUCCUACGGGAGGCAGCAGUGGGGAAUAUUGGACAAUGGGCGAAAGCCUGAUCCAGCAAUGCCGCGUGAGUGAUGAAGGCCUUAGGGUUGUAAAGCUCUUUUACCAGGGAUGGAUAAUGACAGUACCUGGAGAAUAAGCUCCGGCUAACUCCGUG
rnacentral:rRNA from 1 species